CUUAUACUCCCUCCGUCCGGAAAUACUUGUCAGAGGAAUGAAUGUAUCUAGAUGUAUUUUAGUUCUAGAUACAUCCAUUUGUAUCCAUUUCUACGACAAGUAUUUCCGGACGGAGGGAGUAUGAU
rnacentral:pre_miRNA from 1 species